rnacentral:rRNA from 14 species
AGUCACCAAGCGUGGGAUUGUUCACGCACUAACAGGGAACGUGAGCUGGGUUUAGACCGUCGUGAGACAGGUUAGUUUUACCCUACUGAUGAAGUGAUACUGCAACAGUAAUCGAAGUUAGUACGAGAGGAACAUUUCGUUCAGGUACUUGGUAAAUGUUGCUAGCUGAAAAGCUAAUGUUGCAAAGCUACCAUCUGUUGGAUUACGACUGAACGCCUCUAAAUCGGAAUCCAUGCUGGCUAUGCAGUGUUGUUCAUCAUUGCUGUUUGGAACUGACAAAUACUAGGUCUUGGCACUGUUGCGUGAUCCAUUUUGCGAAGGGAAUGGUGGUUGAUUUGAAUUUGGGCAUUCGGAAAUGAUAAAUCUUUUGUAGACGACCUUUUUGAAUCCAAGUAUUGUAAGUGCUAAGAGUGGUCAUUGUGCUACGAUUCACUGAUGUUCAUCU